rnacentral:miRNA from 1 species
AAUACAGAAAGCUCAGCAAAAUCAGAUUUCAGAUAAGCAACAAGUAAUUUUGUAGCAUAAGUAUAUCCCAUGCAAUAGUUGGGAUAUACUUAUGCUACAAAUUCUUUGUAGUUUAUCUGAAAUUCAGCUUCCAUGGGACAUUUUGUGUUUU